rnacentral:rRNA from 1 species
UACGUAGGUGGCAAGCGUUGUCCGGAAUUAUUGGGCGUAAAGGGCGUGUAGGUGGGUAAUUAAGUCGUGUGUCUAAGUGCGGGGCUCAACCCCGUAUGGGCGCAGGAAACUGGAUAUCUUGAGUGCAGGAGAGGAAAGUGGAAUUCCCAGUGUAGCGGUGAAAUGCGUAGAUAUUGGGAGGAACACCAGUGGCGAAGGCGACUUUCUGGACUGUUACUGACACUGAGGCGCGAAAGCUAGGGGAGCGAACGGG